rnacentral:rRNA from 1 species
GACAGUUCGGUCCCUAUCCGUCGCAGGCGUAGGAAAUUUGAGAAGACCUGUCCUUAGUACGGGAGGACCGGGAUGGACGUACCUCUGGUGUACCAGUUGUUCUGCCAAGGGCAUGGCUGGGUAGCUAUGUACGGAAUGGAUAAGCGCUGAAAGCAUCUAAGCGCGAAGCCAACUUCAAGAUAAGAUUUCCCACCGCAAGGGUAAGACCCCAGAAAGACUAUCUGGUUG